CGUAGGGUGCGAGCGUUAAUCGGAAUUACUGGGCGUAAAGCGUGCGCAGGCGGCCUGAUAAGUCAGAUGUGAAAUCCCCGAGCUCAACUUGGGAACUGCGUUUGAAACUAUCAAGCUAGAAUAUGUCAGAGGGGGGUAGAAUUCCACGUGUAGCAGUGAAAUGCGUAGAGAUGUGGAGGAAUACCAAUGGCGAAGGCAGCCCCCUGGGAUAAUAUUGACGCUCAUGCACGAAAGCGUGGGGAGCAAACAGGA
rnacentral:rRNA from 1 species